GUGAACGCUGGCGGCGUGCCUAAUACAUGCAAGUAGAACGCUGAAGGAAGGAGCUUGCUCUUUCCGGAUGAGUUGCGAACGGGUGAGUAACGCGUAGGUAACCUGCCUGGUAGCGGGGGAUAACUAUUGGAAACGAUAGCUAAUACCGCAUAACAGUAGAUGUUGCAUGAUAUCUACUUAAAAGGUGCAAUUGCACCACUACCAGAUGGACCUGCGUUGUAUUAGCUAGUUGGUGAGGUAACGGCUCACCAAGGCGACGAUACAUAGCCGACCUGAGAGGGUGAUCGGCCACACUGGGACUGAGGCACGGCCCAGACUCCUACGGGAGGCAGCAGUAGGGAAUCUUCGGCAAUGGACGGAAGUCUGACCGAGCAACGCCGCGUGAGUGAAGAAGGUUUUCGGAUCGUAAAGCUCUGUUGUAAGAGAAGAACGAGUGUGAGAGUGGAAAGUUCACACUGUGACGGUAUCUUACCAGAAAGGGACGGCUAACUACGUG
rnacentral:rRNA from 1 species